GCGUGACCGUGUGGCGGAAGUGUUGUUUUGUGUUGUGGAAUUAUGUGCAUGGACAUUCAGGUUAACGAGAAGAAGAAGAAGAAGAUGACCGACAGGAGUGUCGACGAAGACGUACAAAUCGUCGAAGCCCGAGUCAACAGAGAGGAUGACGUCACGGUUUAUUUAAAGCAAAUGGUAAGAUGAUCCUGGUAAUAUCGUAGAUAUUUUUUUUUUUUGUAAAGAAACUGUAUAAUGAAUACUUAAAUUAAAGAACCA